AAUAAUAUAAAAUAUAAUCUUUAAAGAUUAGAUAGAUUAGAUUAGAUAAAUUACAAUCAACCUCUAUGAUUAGACAAAUUAACAAUAAUUCUCGUCUGACCCUCUGUCUAAAGUAAAAUUAAUUGUUUGAUUGUCUAUUUGUCUAUUAUGUCAUUUACUUCUUGUCAAUUUGUUCGCACCAAAUUUAUUGAAUUUUAGUUAGGUUAAAAAGGCAGAACCCCGGCACGUGGCCGGCACUUUGGCGUGACUGGUAUUCUGAACUUGUACUUUGUACUUGUCUUGUUUGAUGUGAUUUAUUAAUGGGCUGUUAGUUCAUUAUUAUACGAAAUUUUUCACACAAAGGUAACAGUGUGUGGUCUAUUCAGAACCAUGUGCCGAGACAAUAUAUGUAUGUAGGUAGGUAUAUACUGUCUUUUGCGCCCCAACUUUCUUUUUAAAAACAAGUUCUGGCUGGUUUGGA